GGAAGAAGACUUUGAGGAUUUCUUCUUCUUCUUGUCAUGAGAAUCAUAUUCCUUGCUCUUCUUCUUCUUGUUCUCAUUGUCCCACUGUGGACACUCAGAGAUGUAGUGACCAUGUUUCUUGCACUUGUGGCAUGUUCUCUUCUUGUGGUCAUGAGUGGAGGCUUCAUCAUUUCUCGAGCUGGAUCUUGAAGACUUUCUGAAUCCUUUCUUCUUAGUGAAUUUCUGGAACUUCUUCACAAGCAUAGCAAGCUCCUUUCCAAUGUCUUCAGGAUCCCCAGAACUGCAGUCAAAUUCUUCGUCAGAUGAGGAAACAACCUUUGCCUUCAAAGCGCGAGUUCGGCCAUAGUUGGGACCAUAGAUAUCUCUUUUCUAAGAUAACUGGAACUCAUGUGUGUUGAGCCUCUCAAGUAUGUCAGACGGAUCGAGAGUCUUGAAGUCAGGGCGUUCUUGAAUCAUCAGGGCCAGGGUGUCAAAUGAGAUGUCGAGUGAUCUCAAGAGUGUCUUGACGAUUUCAUGCUUGGUGAUCUCAGUGGCGCCGAGUGCAUGAAGCUAAUUUGUGAUAUCAGUGAGGCGGUUAAAUGUGAGCUGGACAUUCUCAUUGUCAUUUCUCUUGAAACGGUUGAAGAGGUUGCGAAGAACACUGAUCCUUGAAUCUCUCUAGGUUGAGACGCCUUCGUUGACCUUGGAGAGCCAGUCCCUGACUAGCUUCGCAGUUUCCAGAGCACUCACACAACCAUACUGUCCUUUGGUCAGAUGACCAUAGAUGAUGUUCUUGGCAGUAGAAUUCAGUUGAAUGAACCUCUUGACAUCAGCGGGGGUGACACCUUCACCGGCCUUGGGAACGCCGUUCUUGAUGACAUACCAGAGGUCGACAUCAAUGGCUUCAAGAUGCAUGCACAUCUUAUUCUUCGAGUAGGGGUAAUCAGUGCCAUCGAAGACAGGGCACGCAGAGGAGACUUUGAUUAUCCCUGCAGUCGACAUAGCUAAAACUCCAGGUGGUUAAACCGAAGCGCACAGAACAAGGGAGCACCUUGCUCUGAUACCAAUUGAAAGUGCUAGUUAUCGACUAGAGGGGGGCGAAUAGGUGAUUUUUAUGAAAGUCUUCAAAACACGGGGGCUUUGAAUACAAACAGUAGAUAUGAGCCUAUAGAUAUGCAGUGGAAGGUAGACUACACUAGACAAGCCAUAGUCAAGUAAGCAAUGAAGUGAAAGCACGAAGACUAUUAGCAGCUAGGUAGUAUGGAUUAGGAUGGAAGAUAGUAUGAAGCCAAACAACAAUAGUCGUCACACAGUGAAGUCAAUCAGAUCAAACAAGCAGGCAAUGACUUCAUGAAGACAAACUGUAAGUAAAGAGAGGUAAGAGAUAGAACCAGUUGUUUGGUGAGGACAGGGAUUUGUUGGACCAGUUCCAGUUGCUGUGACAACUGUACGUCUGGUUAGGGAGGCUGAGAUUUAACUCAGAAGACCGCGUCUUCACCUUAUUCCCCUUGAGCUAAGGACACGUAGUCCUCGCCCAAUCACUCUGGUAAGUCUUCAAGGUAGACUUCCAAACCUUCACAGACUUCGUUCACCGGCAAUCCACAAUGACUCUUGGAUGCUCAGAACGCGACGCCUAACCGGCUGGAGGAUUCACAGUCCUCAAGUGUAAUAAGUCUUCAGGUCACACGGACAGAAAGACUUCAGUGAUGCCUAACACUCUUUGGCUCUGGGUGUUUUGGGCUUUGUCCUCGCAAGGAUCUCUCUCUCAAAUGCUUUGGAGGUGGGUUUCUCUCAAACGACAGAAGCCGUGUACUAACUCUGAGCAGCCACCAAUUUAUGGUAUAGGGGGUGGGCUAUUUAUAGCCAGGAGGCAACCCGACCUGAUUUGUCCAAAAUGACCCUGGUCACUAAGGAACUGACACGUGUCCAACGGUCAGAUUUCAAACACACGCGGCAGCUUGACUUGGGCUACAAGUAAAGCUGACUCAUCCAGCUCUGGAUAAGAUUUGCUCUCAUUGUCUUCGCUCGAAGACAUAGGAUUUGGUUGAGCAUCACUUUAGUCACUCUGACUUUGUUCACUUGGACCCCACUUAACAGUACGGUGGUUCCUAUGACUCAACAAAGAAGAAAAGGAAACUACGAAACAACUAUGUCUCUGCACUCCAUAGUCUUCACGUGAAUGUCUUCUCAAGUCAUAGUCUUCGUUGUGAAUAUCUUCACAGACCAUCAUUGUCUUCAAUGUCUUCACACAUUUUUAGGGGUCAUCUCUGGUAGGUAAACUGAAUGAAUGUGGGACUACUACCCGUGUUAUCCUGCAAUUCUCACAAACACAUUAGUCCCUCAACCAAGUUUGUCGUUAAUACUCCAAAACGAACUAGGGAUGGCACUAGAUGCACUUACACAUACCCCGCUUAAGUGUCCACCAUCUUCAUCGUCCCCGGCAGGCCGCGCUACAUACUGGCACACACUCAGCAGCCAUGUCGAGCGACAGCGAGGACGACAGUUCGGCCAGCAGUCUAGCGUCCGAUGAUAGGUCAACAUCGGAAUCAUCCCGCUCGUCUUCCAUGAGUCCGGCGUCGAGCCCAGACCUCGAUUAUAUCCGGAUCAUGGAAGGGACGCCGCCUUCGGAGGCGUCAGACGACAACCAGAUGGACGAGGAGCCGUCAGAGGACGGAGAAGAGGACGACGAUGAUGAGGAGGAGGAAUGGUCAAACAAGGAGGAGGAGGACGACGACAACAAUGACAAUGACGACGGCGGUGGCGAUGAAAAGCCAACCAUCAGCGGCAAGAAGCGUCCUCGCCAAGACGAUGUCGCGGGGCCAUCCAACAACAACAACAACAACAAUGACUAAAUUAAGCAGACUGUACAUAUCUCUAUUUCUGUUCGCUCAUAUUAAUUUGUUAUCUCUUUUUAUCCUGUCAAUCUCAUCGCAGACGGUUAGUAAUAAGUAUUCAAUAGAGAUCUUCUACAUUAUCGCCCAUAGGUUGGUUUGUUGAACUGUGUGCCCUGAUGAGCACACAAUUUACAAAAAAGUCCGUAUGGGCUGUCUAUAGUGACCGCACACAAUUCUGAUUAUUGACCUGUUUGCCGGGUAUCACACACAUCUUGUUACGCCGAUUGUGUUCACCUCGAUCAUCGCAAACAGUUCAUCGGAGCAAACUGUAUGCUGUAUAUCGCACACACAUUGAUAUGGCUGCCCGUUUCUAUUGUUCUGUCUAAUCGCAAACAGUUCGUAUGGAUCAACCAUAUGCCCUGCAUCGCACGCGCAACUACAAUCUGAACCGUGUUUGAUGCAUCCUCCAUCACAAACGGUUUGCACAUUUUUUGACGGUUAUUUUACACCACCAUUUGCGAUUAUUGCAUCGCACACAGUUUCGUCGAAGGGUCUCUGAUCGUAGUGUCGCGUUAGCAGCAUCCUGCAGUAGUGACCUCAUCACCCUUGUUGACCGAGAUUGACAUCUUGAUCAACACAGUACCGUGAACAACCUAAGCUCUGAAUACCACUUGAUAAAACACCGACUAGCGAGAUGCUAAAUCGUGCGAGCCGUGGCUCAAUCUUUCACAGUACUGUUGUCGUAAACGAUCGAGGUAGAAAGAGAUUCGGCCCUUGCUAUUAUUUAACAAGAACAGAAACUAAUCUGCGGCAAGAUUGACAAAGAUCAAACUCAACACAGCAGCAUACGAUCCAUCACAAAGGGUCGCAGAAAAGGCAGCAACUUGACGUCCCAGACCUGGAACCUUUUUCUCUGUCUAUUAACACUCGAUGAAAAAAUCAAUCUCAAAACAACCACCCUCGUACACGGCUGUAGCCGGCCUUUUAUAUAGGCGGCGCGUACAUAGUAAACCGACUUGCGUACAAGACCUAUCUUAUUUGGACUCUCUCUCUUUCCUAUCCCAACAAAUCAAGGAAUUAAAUAAUAAAUUAUCUGGCACGCUGAUCACCUAUAGUAACGAACUUUGGACUCCUAUGAAAACUAGUACGUAACUAGUAUUAGAUCAAAUGACUUGACCCUCUCGUAUCGAUUGACAGACACAGGCCAUGCGAUAAUUUAUGUAGCACAUGGAGUUCUGAAGGUGGGCUUAACUUCAUCCUUCUUCGGUUUAGUUGGUGGAACUUCAAACCUAAAAGAACCAACUUGUAAAACAUUCCGAAGAUUAUCUCUUGCACUAGCGGCCACAUCAGAGUAGUAAGUAGAUGAUGGGUUGCGAGAGUGACAGAAGCUUAAACCCUAGUUUAUGCGUUAUUUCAUAAGGUUUCGAUUUGGAUCCAUAUGUUUCAUGCUAUGAUUAUAUUUAUCUUAAUUCUUCUUUUGUACUUGUGGAUGCUUGCGAGAGGGGGUAAUCAUAAGUGGGUUGCUUGUUUCAAGUAAGAACAAUACCCUAGCACCGGUCCACCCACAUAUCAAAUUAUCAAAAUAGUUAACGCGAAUCGACUAAACAUGAUGAAAGUUAACCAGACAAUAUUCCCAUGUGUCCUCGAGAACGCUUUACUGACUAUAAGAAGUACUUUCGGCUUAUCCUUUGUUAUAAAAAAGAUCGAGCCACCUUGUUGCAGCUUUGUUAUUUUUGUUACUUGCUACUUAUUACGAAUUACCUUGCUAUUAAACUAUCCGUUACUACUAUUUACAACACUUGCGGAGAAUAUCUUGCUGAAAACCAAUUGUCAAUUCCUUCUGCUCCUCGCUAGGUUAGAUACUCUUACUUAUCGAAAGGACUACGAUUGAUCCCCUAUACUUGUGGGUCAUCACUUAUCAACAACAACAACAACAAAGCACGGGUUGACAGGUUCGGGAAUGAUUCUAAGAGACAAAGGGAGUGGUAAUAUUUUUUUUUGCAUAUUGUCGCACAUUCCAUUGCAACGAGGCACUCGAAGGAGAGCUACAUGUGGCCAUGGAGGGUGUUAGCCUUACUUUAGUGCUCGGACCCACCAAUGUUGAUUCAAGGUGAUUGCGCGGUGGCACUGGCGGCGCUCCAAGAUGGAUCCAUGGAUAGGUCUGCUUAUGGUCACAAUAUUGCCGAGGUGAAGGAAUUGUUGAAGAAGAGAGUGCUUAAUCCGGUUAAGAUAUCUCGCAAACAAAGUAGGGUUGCACAUUGCUUAAUGAGCUAUGGUCGUAGUCGUAGUGGGAUAACACUACAUGCUAGCUUAACCAAUCCUCCUCUUUUGUUGCUGAACUUGUCGCGAACAAUGGUAACCCUGUAAUUUUAGAAUAAGUACCUUAUAUUUCCCGCAAAACAACAACAACAACAAAGCUUUUUGGUUCCAACCAAGUUGAGGCAGGCUAAGAGGCCCUGUUCGUUUGGGCUUUUUGUAACGCCCCGGAUCCGAUGCGCCAGGUGUCUGCCAGUUAUUCGCUGCCGUUGCCAUGUCAUCUGCUUGCGUGUUGCAUUUUGCCAUGUCAUCAUCUGCAUUUCAUAUCAUGUCAUCAUGUGCAUCGCAUUUGCAUACGUGUUCGUCUCUUGCAUCCGAGCAUUUUCCCCGUUGUCCGUUUUGCAAUCCGGCGCUCCUAUCUCCUCCGGUGCACCCCUCUUGUUUUCUUUCGUGUGCGGGUGUCAAACUUUCUCGGAAUGGACCGAGUCUUGUCAAGUGGCCUUGGUAUACCACCCGGAGACCACCGGUCAAGUUUCGUUCCAUUUGGAGGUCGUUUGGUACUCCAACGGUUAACCGGGUAACCGCGAAGUCCGUUUUGGCAUUGCAGCAAAACCCCCUUUCAAACAGCCCCAAAACCCCUCUAAGUCUCCGUCAUGCUCUCGGUCGUUCGAUCACGAUCGCGUGGGCGAAAACCGCACCUCAUUUGAACUCUCCUAGCUCCCUCUACCUAUAAGUAUGCCUCUUCUCCGAAAUCCCGCAGUCCAAACCCUAAAAAUCCUCUCCUCACCGCACCGAAUAUGUCCGCCCGCCGCCGGACGCCGUCCGCCGCCACCCCGACCAAUCACAGCAUGCCACGUGUCCUCCGCCGCCGUCUCNNNNNNNNNNNNNNNNNNNNNNNNNNNNNNNNNNNNNNNNNNNNNNNNNNNNNNNNNNNNNNNNNNNNNNNNNNNNNNNNNNNNNNNNNNNNNNNNNNNNNNNNNNNNNNNNNNNNNNNNNNNNNNNNNNNNNNNNNNNNNNNNNNNNNNNNNNNNNNNNNNNNNNNNNNNNNNNNNNNNNNNNNNNNNNNNNNNNNNNNNNNNNNNNNNNNNNNNNNNNNNNNNNNNNNNNNNNNNNNNNNNNNNNNNNNNNNNNNNNNNNNNNNNNNNNNNNNNNNNNNNNNNNNNNNNNNNNNNNNNNNNNNNNNNNNNNNNNNNNNNNNNNNNNNNNNNNNNNNNNNNNNNNNNNNNNNNNNNNNNNNNNNNNNNNNNNNNNNNNNNNNNNNNNNNNNNNNNNNNNNNNNNNNNCCUCCCCUUCUCCUCCGGCCCCGUCCUUCCCUUCCUCCCUCGGCCAUGGCGCCGCCCCGCGCCGUCCGGUGAGCUCCCCGCCGGAGCAUUGCCGCCUCUGCCCCGAGCUCGAGCAGCCCAUCCUCGAUCCCGAUCUAGAUUUUCUGUACGUUGACUUUUCCCCUCCCCUCGAAAUCUCUGUCCCUGAAUUUUGUUAAUAUGUGUGCAUGUUCAACUGUGUGUAACUUCUUGCAUGUAGCUCCGAUUCGCGCGUGUAAUAUGUCAAAUUGUUCGUCUCGUGAUGCUCUACAUUUUGUUCAAUUGCACCAUGUUCAUUUGAGUCCAUCUUGAUGCCCUAAUCAUCGUUGCAAGAGUGCUAGUUGCUGUUAUUCUCUGGUUCUUAACAGAACUUGGAGAUUUGUCAUUUUUGUAUCAUUAAAUCUGUUCAUCUUUUGAGCAUGAAUUCUACAUGUGUUUUGAAGUAUGCCAUGCCAUCUUUCCAGUGGUGUAGUCCAUGUAUUUUUUUGAUCUCUGUGGUGACUAGCGCAAGCAUGCAAAGUAGGCUCCGUAAUGUUUCUGAUUUCAGAGACAGUGAUUUCUCUAAGUCCUUGUCUGCUGUUAUUUUGUUGCCAUGUAAACUUGAUGCUACAGUGAGAUCCAUCCAUAUUUUGGAGAUGUUCAGUAAGGAUUUUUUGUAGCUAUAGUUAUAAUUGAUCCAUUCCUGUCCUUGUUUGCAAUUAUGGAGUGCCAUAGCAUGACUCAAUCUUGCUCUACUUUUGCUAUAAAAUAUUUCUGGCAGAUUCUUAACUUGAUAUGCAAUUUUGCCAAUCUUGUUGUAGUUGAUCCAUACAUGCUAUGUACUUGUUCUUGCCAUGGUUAGCUUCUUAAACAUGCCAUCUUGCUGUAGGUAUGCUUGUCUUGUCAUGCAUUGCUCUGUAGUGAGUGCAUCAAGCUCACAAAGAGGCCUACAUAUUAUUGUUUCUGCCAUGAUCUGAUUUCUGCUAAGUCUGAAACCUGAUAACGAAACUUGCUAUGUUUACAUGCUUGCCAUCAUAUCUUCUGGUCCUUUUUGACUUAUGGUCAGUAAGGGACUUUUGUUUUAUGCUUUGAGUAGAUUCAUGCCAUGCUUUGUUUUGCCAUGUUAAGUUCCUGUAGCAUGUUGUUUUCGUGCUCUGAACAUUGCAACCUGAUGUUAUUUCUGCCAUGUCCAGUAAUUCUGCUAAGUCUGUGAACCUGUUAUUAUUUUGCAAUCUUGCCAUGUCCUUUUGAGCAUGUUCUAGUGAAUUCUGGAGAUAGAUCAGUGUUCAUGUUUUGUUGUGCUUUACCUGUACUUCAUUUCCAUGCCUUUUGUUUUCAUGUUGAGUUGCUGUAGCAUAUUGUUUUGAUGCUUGCAUUAUGCCUAGUUGCUGUUUUGGUCAGAUUGUUGCUAUGUCUUGUUUGGAGUGUAUGUGUUGCAUCGUUGCUCCGUUUUGAGCAUGCUCUAUAUGAAACUUGCUUAGAAUUGUAUGUAGUUCCAUAUUAUCAUGUUGCACCCUUGUUUUGAGGUGUUUGCUUGAUGUUUGUAUGCAUUUUGCAUCAAUGCCAUGUUUAACUUGUUUCGCUCAUAUCUUCUAGGCCGUAACUCCGAAUCUAAUGAACUUUAUAUGUAACUUGACUAGAAUUUCGUGUAGAUCAUCAUGGUGCUCUUUAACUUACUGUUUAACAACUUCAACUUAAUGCUUGUUCAGUUCUGGACCUAUUUCGAAAUUUGCAUAUGAGGACUUACCGGAAUUGUUAUAUGUUGUUUCCGGCCUCAUUUAAACUUGCCUUCGAAAUUUGCAUAUGAGGACUUACCGGAAUUGUUAUAUGUUGUUUCCGGCCUCAUUUAAACUUGCCUUGAUGUGUUGUUCUUGUAUGCAUCAUCUCUUGCCACGAGUAGCUUCAUAUAGACUCGUCAUGCAUCAUUCUUGUUUGAGCAUCAUGCCUUGUUCAUGCGUGGUGUGUUUACCUUGUUGUGUGCUUCUUCUCGAUAGUUCCCGUGUCGUUGCGAUCGUGAGGAUUCGUUCGUCUUCGUGGCUUCAUCUUCUUCAUGGAUUCGUUCUUCUUCCUAGCGGGAUUUCAGGCAAGAUGACCGUCACCUUGGAUCUCAUUACUAUCAUUGCUAUGCUAGUUGCCUCGUUCUAUCGCUUUGCUGCGCUACCUAUUCACUUGUUCCUCAAGCCUCCCAUUUUGCCAUGAACCUCCAACCUUUGUCACCCUUCCUAGCAAACCGUUGUUUGGCUAUGUUACCGCUUUGCUCAGCCCCUCUUAUAGCGUUGCUAGUUGCAGGUGAAGAUGAAGAUUGCUCCAUGUUGGAUUAUGUUUAUGUUGGGAUAUCACAAUAUCUCUUAUUUUAUUAAUGCAUCUAUAUAUUUGGUAAAGGGUGGAAGGCUCGGCCUUAUGCCUGGUGUUUUGUUCCACUCUUGCCGCCCUAGUUUCUGUCAUACCGGUGUUAUGUUCCUUGAUUUUGCGUCCCUCACACGGUUGGGUGAUUUAUGGGACCCCCUUGACAGUUCGCCUUGAAUAAAACUCUUCCAGCAAGGCCCAACCUUGGUUUUACCAUUUGUCCAGCCUAUUUCUUUUCCCUAGGGAGUCGCUCUCUCGAGGGUCAUCUUAUUUUAACCCCCCCGGGCCAGUGCUUCUCUAAGUGUUGGUCCGAACUGAGUAGACUGCGGGGCCACCUCGUGGAAACUCGAGGUCUGGUUUUACUCGUAGGAUGUCUCAUCCGGUGUUGCCCUGAGAACGAGAUAUGUGCAGCUCCUAUCGGGAUGUCGGCGCAUCGGGCGGCUUUGCUGGUUUUGUUUUACCAUUGUCGAAAUGUCUUGUAACCGGGAUUCCGAGACUGAUCGGGUCUUCCCGGGAGAAGGAAUAUCCUUCGUUGACCGUGAGAGCUUAUCAUGGGCUAAGUUGGGACACCCCUGCAGGGUAUUAUCUUUCGGAAGCCGUGCCCGCGGUUAUGUGGCAGAUGGGAAUUUGUUAAUAUCCGGUUGUAGAGAACUUGACACUUGACCUUAAUUAAAACGCAUCAACUGCGUGUGUAGCCGUGAUGGUCCCUUCUCGGCGGAGUCCGGGAAGUGAACACGGUUUCUGGGUUAUGUUUGAUGUAAGUAGGAGUUCAGGGAUCACUUUGAUCAUUGCUAGUUUCACGACCGUUCCUUUGCUUCUCUUCUCGCUCUCAUCUGCGUAAGUCAGCCACCUUACAUGCUUAGUCACUGCUGCAACCUCACCACCUUAUUCAUUCCUUUCCCUUUAAGCUUUGCUAGUCUUGAUACCCAUGGUAAUGGGAUUGCUGAGUCCUCGUGACUCACAGAUUACUACACCACCAGUUGCAGGUACAGGUUUUGCGAUGAUCAUGACGCGAGAGCGAUGUUUACCUUGUUCGGAGUUCUUCUUCUGCUUCUUCUUCGAUCAGGGGAUAGGUUCCAGGUCGGCAGCCUGGGCUAGCAGGGUUGAUGUCGUUUGAGUUUCUGUUUAUGUUUCAUCCGUAGUCGGAUGUUGAUCUCAUGUAUGAUAUAUUGAUGUAUUCUUGCGGCACUUGUAUGCCUUGUAUGUAUCCCCAAAUAUUAUGUAAUGUUGAUGUAAUGAUAUCCACCUUGCAAAAGCGUUUCAAUAUGCGGUUCUAUCCUUGGUGGGGCCUUCGAGUCUCUUUAGGAUAGUAUCGCAUAUUGGGCGUGACACUUUUGCUUCUGCUUUUGCAGCCUUUUCACUUUGAACAAAAAGCCAUAAAAGCUCCCAAAUAGGUGCUCCAAAAGCUCCAAAAGCACCUAUUUUGGGGCCUUUAUGGCUUUUUGUUCAACGUGAAAAGGCUGCAAAAGCAGAAGCAAAAACCCAAACAAACAGGGCCAGAGUUGUUAUCAUUUUUUUUGAGAAGUUACGUUAAAGUUUUCAACCUCUAGUGAAUAACGUGCACAAACGAGAAUAACCUCGAAAGGUUGAAAGAGUUACAAUAGGAUUUUCCAUUUUUCUUUUUGAGUUUUUUACGAGUGGCCAUUUUCUUUUUGAGUAAAAGAUGACACUGUUCUGGGCCCAAUAAACCGUACAGGGCCAGAGAAGCCGAUCCCGAAGAGGCCCACCACUCCCACAAUAUUUGCUCCGCCUCUCGUUCUCUCCCCUCUCUCUCUCUCUCUCUAGCCUCUCCAUUCCGUGUGGCGACCGAGCGAACCCUAGCCGAGAUUAGACUACCAUCCCCAAUCUACCGGAGGAGGACGAGGACGACGCCGACGAGAUGCUGAGGGUUGCGGGGAGGAGGCUCUCGUCUUCGCUCUCCUGGCGCCCCGUGGCGACCGUCGGAGCCAGGGGCCCGCUCGCUGGCGCCGGCGGCCCUGGGAGAGACGACGACGACGGUUCGGCCUACCAGCGGCGGUUCGCCAUCGAGUCCCCCUUCUUCACCGCCGCGAGAGGUAUCUGCGGUCUUGCCCCCACCCCACCUCCCGCAUCCUCGGCUUCCUUCUCUCCCGGAUCUCCCUCGCAUCCGUAGAUUUCGAUUGGGCUUUGAAUUGGGUCGCCUGGAUUUGAGUGAUCCGUGAUGCUAGAUUGACAUCGUCUUUGAUUGAUCUCUUAGGGUGCUGCAAUUCCAUUCGAUCUCUGUGCCUAACUGUUGACUAUUGAUUUCUAUGACGUCGUAUGAUCAUUCUAGCGGAUCAGAUCUGUGGAUGUCAUAGUUACGUGCGAAGCUGAGCGAUUAAAUACGUGCAUAUGUUUAUCUGUUGGCUGGCUUGGUAAUUUGAGUCACUUGUGCUUGCAAACACCUUCGAAUGAAUGCCCAAUGGGCUAUACUUGCAUAGUUCAUAACGAAAUGGAUUGCUAACCGUGCUGAGCGAUUAUGUUCCUGUAUGUGUUUGCUGGCUUAACAAUUGAGCCACACGUUUGCUAGCAAACACCUUCAGAUGAAUGGGCAGUGUGCUGAAUCUGUCUAGUUCAUAAUGAAAUGGAUUGCUAACGCUGCAAUGCUGCGUGGGAACAUAAAUUGCAUCGUAACAGUUAAUUGACAUUUUUCUACUGUACCUGCUGUUAAAGAUGUUUUGUUUUACAGGACCUGCUGGAUGUUGACAAAACUUGGUCAUAGAACUGUAAUCAUCUGAUUGCUUUAUAAUCCAAUGCCCAUAGCAUAUUCCCAUUGUUAGUAAGAAUGAUAUCUGUACCAAACCAAUGGUUUACUCAAAUAGCAGUACUUGUAGUUCUCUGAAUUCCACAUGUGAAGAGCCAUUUACUACUCAACAUUGUUUAGUUUGUGCAAUGAAAUUCUUGCUAUGGUGAUCUUAUUCAUAUCAUUGCCAACUUCUGCAAGUUGUUUUACCCUUUGUUCUUGCUGGUGGAUUAAUACAGAAGUUUUUUGUGUGUUAGCAGUUUGCAAUCUGUCAUACUGUUUCUGCUGUUUAUUGAUGCCUAAAUAUGGGCUCUGCAACAGUUUACUGUUAUUUAAACUAUACUAUUUGUAAUUCUGAUGCAGGCUUUUCUUCAGCUGAAACACUUGUUCCACGGAACCAAGAUGCUGGGUUGGCUGAACUCCCAGCCACUGUUGCUGCACUGAAGAACCCCAACUCAAAAAUCCUUUAUGACCAGUACAACCAUGAAAGAUAUCCUCCUGGAGAUCCCAGCAAGCGUGCCUUUGCCUACUUUGUUCUGAGUGGUGGGAGAUUCGUAUAUGCAUCACUGCUGCGUCUCCUUGUCUUGAAGUUUGUCUUGAGCAUGUCAGCAAGUAAGGAUGUGCUUGCACUUGCUUCCCUUGAGGUUGAUCUAUCCAGCAUUGAACCCGGUAGCACAGUGACUGUCAAGUGGCGUGGAAAGCCAGUCUUCAUCAGGCGACGGACAGACGAUGACAUCAAGCUGGCCAACAGCGUGGAUGUUGCAUCCCUGCGCCACCCAGAGCAAGACGCUGAGCGUGUGAAGAACCCAGAGUGGCUGGUGGUUAUUGGUGUCUGCACUCAUCUUGGUUGCAUUCCCCUUCCCAACUCUGGAGACUUUGGUGGCUGGUUCUGCCCGUGCCAUGGCUCCCACUAUGACAUCUCUGGCAGAAUCCGCAAGGGCCCUGCCCCGUACAACCUUGAGGUGCCCACCUACAGUUUCUUGGAAGAUAACAAGAUGCUCAUAGGCUAAGAGCCUAAAACCAGUACCUACCGACAUAUAUUAUCCACAGGAGUGAAUUCCUGUUGCGCUGUUAUUUUGUUUUCAAUGUGGCUAGGAGUUUUUGUUUCAGGACUAUUGCAACGGUGAUCCACUGUUACCUACUGAAGUUCAUUUGCAGUGCGAAAUAAUUAUUUCUCCUAUGUUGCUACUGGAUUGCAAGUUGUUUUGUACUGAUUUUCUGAGACCCUAUCGGAAGGAUAUUGUAUACCUCUUCUGGUCCUUGCUACCUAUAUAUUUGUUAAAUAAGCAAACAUACUAUUC
rnacentral:lncRNA from 1 species